rnacentral:rRNA from 1 species
AUGGGUCCUUGUGGUGGCCCCGGUGGCGACGUGUGGAAGAUGGACGUGCGCGGCGGCGACCGCAUCGUCAAGGUGAUCUUGUGGCAUGCAGGCGCCGUCGAUGCCAUCUCGGUUUCGUACGAGCGGGACGGCCGGAUUGAGCAGACCGAGCACUGGGGGAAACCAGAGGGUCGACAGCGCUCAGAGAUCUGUCUAGAGCCGGACGAAUACCUCACUGGUAUGAAAGGGCAUGCGGGCGAGUUUGGUGGCUCUUACCUCGUCGGAGCGCUUACUUUAGUUGGCAAUCGGCGCUCCUUCGGACCAUACGGGACACGGAAAGGCGCACCCUUCGAGCUCCCCGCGGCUGGUGGUAGAAUCAUCGGGUUCCACGGGCGCUCCGGAGGCCUCGUUGACGCACUUGGCAUUUACGUCGAAACGGACGGCUAA